AAAUGAAUUGACGGGGACCCGCACAAGCAGUGGAGCAUGUUGUUUAAUUCGAUAAAACGCGAAAAACCUUACCAAGACUUGACAUUUGAUGAAUAAUCUGGAAACAGGUGAAAUUAUAGCAAUAUAACAUCAAAACAGAUGGUGCAUGGUUGUCGUCAGCUCGUGUCGUGAGAUGUUGGGUUAAGUCCCGCAACGAGCGCAACCCUUAUGAUUAGUUGCCAGUAUUAAGUUAGGAACUUUAAUCAGACUGCCGUAGGUAAUACGGAGGAAGGUGGGGAUGACGUCAAAUCCGCAUGCCUCUUACGUCUUGGGCUACAAACGUGCUACAAUGGUAGUUACAAAGAGAUGCCAAGCAGUAAUGCCAAGCAAAUCUCAAAAAAUCUAUCCCAGUUCGGAUUGUGGGCUGAAACUCGCCCACAUGAAGCAGGAAUUGCUAGUAAUCCCGAAUCAGCAUGUCGGGGUGAAUGCGUUCUCGGGUCUUGUACACACCGCCCGU
rnacentral:rRNA from 1 species